rnacentral:sRNA from 1 species
AAAAUCCGUCACGGUCCGCGAGAACCCCAUAAGCAAUUUCCUCAACAACGCACCUCCAUCAUCACCAUCCAGGUCAAACAAUCCCCCCUCAACAUCAUCAAAGUGUCUCAGCUGCAAACGCAGCAGACGCAGAACUUGCACGAAGAACUUCUCCCGCAUAAGCACCGCUGCUCGACAGGUCAAUAUCAAGCCUAGCAACCGCUUCCACUGCUCCAAGCACGAGAAGUUCAUCAACGUAAGAACCAUCAGGAACGUAAAUUGUAGCUCGCCGAGGAUCUGCGCUUCACCGGCCUCCUGACUUUCACCGCCAAUGGUACCAGUUG